UACGGAGGGUGCAAGCGUUAAUCGGAAUUACUGGGCGUAAAGCGCACGUAGGCGGAUUGUUAAGUCGGGGGUGAAAUCCUGAGGCUCAACCUCAGAACUGCCUUCGAUACUGGCAACCUAGAGGCUGGAAGAGGUUAGUGGAAUUCCCAGUGUAGAGGUGAAAUUCGUAGAUAUUGGGAAGAACACCAGUGGCGAAGGCGGGCUAACUGGUCCAGAUCUGACGCUGAGGUGCGAAAGCGUGGGGAGCAAACAGGG
rnacentral:rRNA from 1 species